rnacentral:rRNA from 1 species
CUUUCCCUACACGACGCUCUUCCGAUCUGGUGACCGAAAGCUGAAAAGUACCUCAAAAAGGGAGGUGCAAAGGGCCUGAAAUUGGGUGGCGAUGGUGCGGCAGGGCACGAAAGGAUCUUCGAUGCGAAGGAAGACGUCGCGAGGCGUUUGUACGAGCAUCGUCGCCAGUGUUCUGUCUUACGUUUUGAAGAACGGGCCAGAGAGUUUAUUCUAUUGGCGAAGGUUAACCCAAAAGGGGAGCCACAGGGAAACCAACAAGUCCGUAGCAGCAAUGCCUGGGACGACGUAUUAAAAGUGCGUGGAGUCAGUAGGAUAAGACCCGAAGCCGGGUGAUCUAUGCGUGGGCAGGUUGAAGCGUGACGAAAGUUGCGUGGAGGACCGCAAGCCGUAUUGAUAUGCAAAUCAUUGGUGUGACCUGCGUAUAGGAGUGAAAGAUUAAUCGAACCCGGCAUCAGCUGGUUCCUCCCUAAACAUGUCGCAGCAUGACCUAACCGGAGGUCGUUGGUGAGGUAGAGCACUGAUUGGGGGAGCGGGGCGGGAAACUGCUCACCCCCCUGUCAAACUCCAAACUCCCCAACACCCUAGAUGGUUGGAAGUCCGCAUUGCGGGGUAAGCUUGUAAUGCGUAAGGGAAACAACCCAGACCGUGGUUAAUGUCCCUCAAUGUAGGCUAAGUGUAAACACUGAAAUUGGUCCUAGGUCAAAGACAACUGGAAGGUGAGCUCAGAAGCAGCUAUCCUUUAAAAAGUGCGUAACAGCUUACCAGUCAAGAUUUAGGGCGGUGAAAAUGGACGGGGCUAAAGCCUACUACAGAGACCACGGAGCACCGAAAGGUGAUCUGGUAGGGAGGCGCUCUGCAUGGGUAGAAGCUGGGGCGUGAGUUCCAGUGGACCGUGUAGUGUUGAGAAUUCUGGCAAUAGUAGAAGCAUAGAUGGGUGAGAAUCCCAUCCGCCGCAGGGGCUAGGUUUCCUCGGCAAUGUUCGUCAGCCGAGGGUUAGUCGGUCCUAAGGUGCGUCGUAACUCGAACGUACCGACAGGGAAACAGGUUAAUAUUCCUGUACCAUAUGGUUUUUAGCGUAAGCCCUGACGCUUUGGGGUAUGCCCGGCGGGACUGUCGUCCCGUCCAAGCGUAUAAUUCCGUGGAGUACCGUAAUGGUGAGAAUCGGAGGAAAGCGUGAUGGGGUAACCAGGCAAAUUCCCGGAGCCCAUGAAAAGGGAAUCAUAUGUCCGUACCGAGAACCGACACAGGUGCCCCUCGCUGAAGAGGUGAAGGCGUGUCGGAUUUAAUCGUAGUUAAGGGAACUCGGCAAAUUGGCCCCGUAACUUUGGGAUAAGGGGUGCCUGCCUGGAGAUCAGGCAGGUCGCAGUGACCGGGUCGCACUAACUGUCUAAUAACAACAUAGGUGACUGCAACUCCGAAAGGACUAGUAUAGUCACUGAUUCCUGCCCAGUGCGAGUAUCUGAACACCGGGUUCAACCGGACGAAGGACUCGUAAACGGCGGGGGUAACUAUGACCCUCUUAAGGUAGCGUAGUACCUUGUCGCUUAAUUGGCGACUUGCAUGAAUGGAUUAAUGAGUGCGAUACUGUCCCUAACACGAAUCCGUUGAACUUUUUGUCCUAGUGCAGAGACUAGGGACUCCUGAUGGGAAGUGAAGACCCCGUGGAGCUUUACUGCAGCCUGUCGCUGAAUUACGAUAAUCCUUGCGCAGGGUAGAUGGGAGGCGUUAUAUCCGUCGCUUUCGGGUGACGGGGAGCCAACGAUGAGACACCAUCCUAGUUUUGUUGUAGUUCUCACUCUUACGAGGACAACGGUAGGUAGGCAGUUUGGGUGGGGCGCCACACCCUCGAAAAAAUAUCAAGGGUGCCCCAAGGUCAACU